rnacentral:misc_RNA from 1 species
GCAAACUUGGUCAUUUAGAGGAAGUAAAAGUCGUAACAAGGUUUCCGUAGGUGAACCUGCGGAAGGAUCAUUAAUGAAGCUUUGGAAUGGGCUGUAGCUGGCCUUUCCUCUCCGUUGAGAGAGGGGGGAGGCAUGUGCACGCCUGUUCCAUCUCUCCAACCUUUCAUAUUAAACCCCUUGUGAACACAUUUGCAUGUGUGGGAAGAAGGAGGAACUAGAGAAGAGGGGAAAGGGAGAGAGGGGUGUUUGGUGAACAAAACCCCCCCACCCCCCCUCAUCUCAUCCUCCUGACAAACCCCCAUGCCCUUUUUCACCACAAACUCCUUUGCAUGUAAUCUGGAAUGUCUGAUGUGUAUAAAAACCACAUAUAAUAAAACACACACAACUUUCAACAACGGAUCUCUUGGCUCUCGCAUCGAUGAAGAACGCAGC